UAAAGCAGCUGAGCAGCGG
rnacentral:misc_RNA from 1 species